AAUCAAAACGUAAACGCAAACUGAAAUAUGAUGAUCGUACGAAAAACAGAUUUACGUCUAAACGCUGAUUCGGAAAGUGCAAAGCUUGAAACCCGAUCGUAUAUGCGUAGAAAGCAGUAAGCUUUAGAGGAGGUUUGCAGUAAAGAUAAAAUGCUUAAAGUAAAUGCAAACCGAGAUUUAGAGUGGUUCGGUCAAUCUUGACCUACUCCACUUUUGGCUUCCUCCACCGACGAGGGCACCGACAUCAACUAGAGGCCUUCCUUCAAUAGGCAAAGGCCAACCACCCUUUUACAGUUUCAC
rnacentral:lncRNA from 1 species